AUUGAACGCUGGCGGCAGGCUUAACACAUGCAAGUCGAGCGGGGGAAGGUAGCUUGCUACCGGACCUAGCGGCGGACGGGUGAGUAAUGCUUAGGAAUCUGCCUAUUAGUGGGGGACGACAUCUCGAAAGGGAUGCUAAUACCGCAUACGUCCUACGGGAGAAAGCAGGGGAUCUUCGGACCUUGCGCUAAUAGAUGAGCCUAAGUCGGAUUAGCUAGCUGGUGGGGUAAAGGCCUACCAAGGCGACGAUCUGUAGCGGGUCUGAGAGGAUGAUCCGCCACACUGGGACUGAGACACGGACAAGACUCCUACGGGAGGCAGCAGUGGGGAAUAUUGGACAAUGGGGGGAACCCUGAUCCAGCCAUGCCGCGUGUGUGAAGAAGGCCUUAUGGUUGUAAAGCACUUUAAGCGAGGAGGAGGCUACUCUAGUUAAUACCUAGGGAUAGUGGACGUUACUCGCAGAAUAAGCACCGGCUAACUCUGUGCCAGCAGCCGCCGUAA
rnacentral:rRNA from 1 species